AGGGUAAGGGCGCAAGCUCUGGAAAAGCACGCCGCGGCCGCACAGGUGGUUCGUUCGCCGGGGGGAUGUCAGCUGUUUGUACGGAUGUCUAGCGCACCGACAAACCGGUCUGGAGCUCCCGGAAAGAUGUCCCGCCGCCGCAAUAAGUCCUAACCGGGCUCGCCAGAUUGUGCUGGCUGCUCCCGGCGGCGUGCACCCACCCCGCCAGAAAAGGUCCGUUGAUGGAACGAGGAGCACCUUUACCGACCGUCCGCUGCGCCCGAGGCCAGCCCCCCAGGGGCCAGCCGCCCGAGGGCCAGCGUCCGUCUCGAAGAGCGCUCUCUCCUCAGCACCUCCUUCCGAGGACCUCAGUACGGCGCCCUCUCGACAUGUCAGCCCCGCGGGGAGAUGCAGCUACCGUUCCGUAGGUGAACCUGCGGAAGGAUCAUUA
rnacentral:rRNA from 1 species